AUGCACGCUGGCGGCGUGCUUAACCCAUGCAAGUCGAACGAUGAAGCCCAGCUUGCUGGGUGGAUUAGUGGCGAACGGGUGAGUAACACGUGAGUAACCUGCCCUUAACUCUGGGAUAAGCCUGGGAAACUGGGUCUAAUACCGGAUAGGAGCGUCCACCGCAUGGUGGGUGUUGGAACGAUUUAUCGGUUUUGGAUGGACUCGCGGCCUAUCAGCUUGUUGGUGAGGUAAUGGCUCACCAAGGCGACGACGGGUAGCCGGCCUGAGAGGGUUACCGGCCACACUGGGACUGAGACACGGCCCAGACUCCUACGGGAGGCAGCAGUGGGGAAUAUUGCACAAUGGGCGCAAGCCUGAUGCAGCGACGCCGCGUGAGGGAUGACGGCCUUCGGGUUGUAAACCUCUUUCAGUAGGGAAGAAGCGAAAGUGACGGUACCUGCAGAAGAAGCACCGGCUAACUACGUG
rnacentral:rRNA from 1 species